AACCUCUUCCCAAGUCCCCAACCCACCUCCCCUUGAGAAAAACUGGACAUGGGGAGGGGAGCCGGCCAGAGGAGGACCCUUUUCUGUGGCAUUAGAUGGGGGAGGGACAGCUGGGGUUCCCCCACCCAUCCCACCUCCCUCUAAACUUGACAACCCCCAAUCAGUGUUUGAGCCUCCUCGUUCCCUUGGCACCCCUGGUGAAUCCUUGGUGAUGAUUUUGGCAACUUCGGGAAUAAAUGACAAUUCUCAUGGA
rnacentral:lncRNA from 1 species